rnacentral:piRNA from 1 species
UUGGAAUAGAAAGUUGGUUUUACCUG